rnacentral:rRNA from 1 species
UAAGUAAGUGGUGGAAAUUAAACCAAAUGGGAUAUCUUUAGUAAUUGCGAAUGAACAAGGAUAUGCUUAGCUUGACAAAUGGAGCUAUUGGCUUUGAAUUGUAUUUGUGGAAUGUAUUACCAACAGAGGUGCAGGUGCCAGCCUAUUAAAUAAAGCGUCAAUGAGGGUGAGAAUCCUGUUUGUCAUGUGCAGCCCUUUGUGCACGGUGUAUAUUUGCUGAGUCACACUCCUUGGCAUUGGAAUGCAAAGUGGGUGGUAAGUUUCAUGUACAGGUAAACAUGCAAUUGAGACUGAUAGCACACAAGUACCAUGAGGGAAAUAUGAAAAGGACUUUGAAAAGAGAAUUAAAUGAGUUUGUAUUUGCUGAACACAAAGUAAACAGACUUGAUUUGCUUGGUGGGAGUGUUGCACUUGCUUGACAAGAGCUUUGGGCUGUGGGUGUAAUGAUUCUUUCUUUGCAUGCCAGUUUCUAAGUGUACAUCUGAUUACCUUUGCACAUGAAUGAUAAGUCUCCUGUGGGGGGUGGAUUGCAUGUGCAUGUAAUGAUUUGUGUUUUGAUAAAUGUGUCUGGUGUAUGUGUGUGUGUUCCUGUGCUUGGGGAUGCUUCCUUCCUUGGACUUACAAGCCCUGACACACACAUGCUGGCAAAAUGCUUCUGCUUGACCCG